AGCGAACGCUGGCGGCAGGCCUAACACAUGCAAGUCGAACGAACCUUUCGGGGUUAGUGGCGGACGGGGGAGUAACACGUGGGAACGUGCCUUUAGGUUCGGAAUAACUCAGGGAAACUUGUGCUAAUACCGAAUGUGCCCUUCGGGGGAAAGAUUUAUCGCCUUUAGAGCGGCCCGCGUCUGAUUAGCUAGUUGGUUGAGGUAAUGGCUCACCAAGGCGACGAUCAGUAGCUGGUCUGAGAGGAUGAUCAGCCACAUUGGGACUGAGACACGGCCCAAACUCCUACGGGAGGCAGCAGUGGGGAAUCUUGCGCAAUGGGCGCAAGCCUGACGCAGCCAUGCCGCGUGAAUGAUGAAGGUCUUAGGAUUGUAAAAUUCUUUCACCGGGGACGAUAAUGACGGUACCCGGAGAAGAAGCCCCGGCUAACUUCGUG
rnacentral:rRNA from 1 species